rnacentral:lncRNA from 7 species
AGAAAAAGGAUCAUUGUGCAUAUUAGCAACACUGCUUAUAGAUUCAUCAUGGCUCACAACAAAGAAAAACCACAACACGUGAAUACUGUCAAACUAAUACUGUCAAUUAAGCAUCUUCACUCUCAACAUCAAAUUAUAUACUUCCACAGGAAGUCACUGAUGUGAACUCAAGAACUGCUUCUGGACUUCAGACUUCAGUCUGGCAAAGGCUGCUGGGGAUGUGGCUGCCCAUGUGUGUGUCAAAUUCAAAUCAUUCUGUAUGGAUUCCAGGAUACCAAGGCUAUUAUCUGCAAGCCUAUUAUCUCCCAAAUGCAUAAAAACACUUUUAUGGCAUAUACAUCAUGGAUUAGAAAUUCCUUGGUAAUAUGUACCUCCAUGUUCAUUCUUGUACUGCUUCAGGAAUCUUACUUGAAAAACAGCACAAAUUAUUGCUAUCCUGCUGCAUCCCAUAUUGCUGAUAAAUUCAAGUAAUGUAAAGAGAGCUGCUUUGUUUUUUGAUUUGUUCUAAUUUGUUAGACCAUAAAGCUGAAAUGUUGAUUUAGCCUUUAACAAUAUCUAAUUAGUAGAAGUUCCUAUACAAAAUUUUUCUUUGUUUUUAGUGGUUUGAGUUACACUGCCUUUUUUAUAAAGUAUUCUGUGAAAAGAUGAAAUGACAUUUUUUAAUCAUUUCUUUUAAAUUUCAUUAUCUUUUUGAUGACAGUAAUUUUCAUUUUUAUUUUUUAAUCUCCUUUUAGCCAACUUUUUCCCACUUUCUUCUUUGCAGCAAUAUAUUCUUGUAACCAUUUAUUUUGAUAACUUUCAAUGGAAAUUACUUUUUCACAAGGACAGUGUAGUCCUCUAAGAUGAAUUGUUUUUUCUUUUUCAAAAGCUGGUCCUCUCCUGCACCCACUAAAAAUUAUAAAAGUAUCCCUCUGGAAUAUAGCAAAAACUCUCAGGAGAACACAAAUUAACAACAAACUGAAACAAAAAUAGUCUACAGAUAGCUUUCAUAAUCUUUGCAGUCUAUACUAGAGGACAGGUGGGCCUCUACAAAACUCAAAGACUCAGGUACUGUAAAGACUCUUAGAAGUACUUUUUAUCCUCUAGCUGAAAAAUACAGAUGGGAGCUCAGGUAAGAGGCAUCUUGAUGAGACUCGUUUACAAGAUUCUUGUUUCCCUAUAUAUCAGUUUGGUAAGCUUUUGCAGUAUUCUUCUAAAACUCUUUUUCUGAGUUUAUAUUCAUAGCAUGAUAUAUCUCAAAAUUGGAGAAAAGAAUUACUGUAUCUUUUUUUGGAGACUUGAUGCUUAGAAUUAGACCUUAAAGCUUCUGCAUGAUGGAGAAAUUUUAUUAAAUAAUCUCCCCUCAGAAUAUUUUUCCUCUAGCGUAUUUAAGCUUUGAAAACUUCAUGAAAGAGCAGGGGGCAAGUGUAUUAGAACUAUCAGGUCAUAGAGGUACUACAAAUACAUGAAUUAUGCAAGUUGAUUAGAAGUUCAGAACUGGAAAAUGUUUCUUGUGAAAGAAUUGUUAAGAAUUACUUAAGGUGAUCAUAGAAAGAUUGCAUUUACUGUCUUUCCUUAAUAAUAUUACAGAUGCACAACAAAGCCAUUAAAAUGUUUUAACAAAU